GAGAAAUCAAAUUGGAAAUCACCAGAAGAGAAAUUUACUUCGUUAUUAGCGGCAGAUUGGUUGGGCUGGAUUGCUCAACUAGAAUCGUCUUUGGCUGAUAAAAUUCAUGGUUUGAGCCAUAAAGAGCUCCCAUCCCAUGGAAUUCUCUAUUGGGAUGCUAUUCAGUCACGUUUUAACCUUCGCAUUAGGGCCAGUGGCGUUAUUCAACGAUGCUUUGCCCACUUCGGUUCCCUGAUGACAACCGCCUUCGCAGUUGCAAGUUGCAACGUCCAACCCCGCAGUACGAGUUCCAGCUGUGCGAUCACGACAAUAGCGAUCGGCAUCCACCAGUCCACACGUCAUCGCAAGAAUAGCGAAAACAACAGAGAUGCUGCACGAAUAAAUUUGGCAUCGCUGUUGGUAUUUCCUACAUCUACAUGUACGGACAGAAGAAAACAAAAUAUUAGUCAACGUGGUGAUCUUGAACGACUUGUUGCGUUUUCAUGGUCGUGACGAUUCUUUGUUUACACAUUGCUCUGUACUUGUAUUUCUGUUUAUACUUGGAUAAGGAUACAGUGUGAGUUAUCAGUUCGACUAGUGCUAGAGUUCUCUGUCUUGUAGUUGGCAAUGUCAUGUGUCUUAACAGUUGCUGCAUUUAUUGUGGGAAAAAAAUAUUGUGAACGACGUCGUCUAUGGAUUGGUGCUGAGCAAUCUGUAGACUUGCUUUAUGCUCCUUCACCCAGUUCACCAUGUACGUUUUUAUUAACAAGUGAAAAAAGAAAAGAUAAAAGGAUCAGCUGAUUGCCAUACGGUGGUGUUGAUUUUGGGAGUGCAAAAGCCACAAACUAACCGCCUAUUGCAAACCAAACGUCUGUCGAUGGCUUUUCUAUGUUAAAAUGAAAUAAGUUCUCUAUUUUAAUUUUGGGUACUCCCUUGCAGUCGGUUGAAAAUUUUUCAAGCGCCAACUGUAUGACGGGAUGUUGGUAGUCGGCAUGGAUGAUUUCAUUUGCCACAAAGUAGUCAUCCAAAAUAUGUGAAGUAUAAAUGUGAUAUAAUUGUGUUUCGAAUAAAUAUUGUGAAUUGCUCUAAAUAUUGUUCUUAUCGCCAUUAGAUGUUAAAAAAUAUAUAUUUCAUCAUCAAACUUGAAAA